rnacentral:rRNA from 1 species
AGAGUUUGAUCCUGGCUCAGAGCGAACGUUAGCGGCGCGCUUAACACAUGCAAGUCGAACGAGAAAGGGACUUCGGUCCCCGGUAAAGUGGCGCACGGGUGCGUAACACGUAGGCAAUCUUCCCUUUGGAGGGGGAUAACUACCCGAAAGGGUAGCUAAUACCGCGUAAGACCACGGUCUCCACGGAGACUGCGGUCAAAGGAGGCCUCUUCAUGAAAGCUUCCACCAGAGGAUGAGCCUGCGGCCCAUCAGCUAGUUGGCGGGGUAACGGCCCACCAAGGCAAAGACGGGUAGCCGGUCUGAGAGGAUGAUCGGCCACACUGGCACUGAAACACGGGCCAGACUCCUACGGGAGGCAGCAGUGGGGAAUCUUGGACAAUGGGCGAAAGCCUGAUCCAGCGACGCCGCGUGGGUGAUGAAGGCCUUCGGGUUGUAAAGCCCUGUUGAGGGGAAAGAAAACGUCGGGCGCGAAUAGCUCCCGACCUUGACGGUACCCCUCCAGAAAGCACCGGCUAACUCUGUGCCAGCAGCCGCGGUAAGACAGAGGGUGCAAACGUUGCUCGGAAUUACUGGGCGUAAAGCGCGUGUAGGCGGGCCAACAAGUCAGAUGUGAAAUCCCUGGGCUCAACCCAGGAACUGCAUUUGAAACUGCUGGCCUUGAGUGGUGGAGAGGGAAGCGGAAUUCCUGGUGUAGAGGUGAAAUUCGUAGAUAUCAGGAGGAACACCGGUGGCGAAGGCGACUUCCUGGACACCAACUGACGCUGAGACGCGAAAGCGUGGGGAGCAAACAGGAUUAGAUACCCUAGUAGUCC